CCUGCUCCUGUCAUCUCUAAGCUCCUCACACAUCUUUACCUGUACAUGAGGAAAAUCACUCCUGUAGAAUGCAGAUGUUCAGAGGGAGAUGAUGCCACAUCUGGUCCAGCUGAUGGAAGGUCUUGAAGUUCUCUGACUGGCCUCGACUGAAGAUGGUCGUCUCACUGGAUUUAAGAUGCACAAUGAGGGACAUCUGCAUAGACUGAGAAAGAAUCUCACCACAUCCUGACAUGAGGAAAAAGACUUUAUUGAAGACUACAAUGAGAAAAACUAUCAGACAGCAGAUGGCUGCAUUCAAGGCUACAGGAGGAGCCCUACGAGGACGAGCUGGUCCACCUGAUGGUGGCCAGUUGCUGCGGUUCAAAGCCAACACCGACUA
ensembl:lncRNA